rnacentral:rRNA from 1 species
AUUGAACGCUGGCGGCAGGCCUAACACAUGCAAGUCGAGCGGAUGACGGGAGCUUGCUCCUUGAUUCAGCGGCGGACGGGUGAGUAAUGCCUAGGAAUCUGCCUGGUAGUGGGGGACAACGUUUCGAAAGGAACGCUAAUACCGCAUACGUCCUACGGGAGAAAGCAGGGGACCUUCGGGCCUUGCGCUAUCAGAUGAGCCUAGGUCGGACUAGCUAGUUGGUGGGGUAAUGGCUCACCAAGGCGACGAUCCGUAACUGGUCUGAGAGGAUGAUCAGUCACACUGGAACUGAGACACGGUCCAGACUCCUACGGGAGGCAGCAGUGGGGAAUAUUGGACAAUGGGCGAAAGCCUGAUCCAGCCAUGCCGCGUGUGUGAAGAAGGUCUUCGGAUUGUAAAGCACUUUAAGUUGGGAGGAAGGGCAGUAAGUUAAUACCUUGCUGUUUUGACGUUACCGACAGAAUAAGCACCGGCUAACUCUGUGCCAGCCGCCGCAGUAAUAC